UGAAAGGUUUUACUCUUUCUGGCCUCUGUUCUUCAAGUUUGCCUUUGAUUGAUUUCAUGUAGUCUUUGAGGUACUUCUUAUAGGCUUCUUUUGUGAAGCUGGUUUCCUGCAAGUAAUGAGAUCGGUUGAGCAUCCGUCCGACUUCAGCUCAGGUCAUGAUCUC